UACGGGGGGGGCAAGCGUUGUUCGGAAUUACUGGGCGUAAAGGGCUCGUAGGCGGCCAACUAAGUCAGACGUGAAAUCCCCUCGGCUUAACCGGGGAACUGCGUCUGAUACUGGAUGGCUUGAGAUUGGGAGAGGGAUGCGGAAUUCCAGGUGUAGCGGUGAAAUGCGUAGAUAUCUGGAGGAACACCGGUGGCGAAGGCGGCAUCCUGGACCAACACUGACGCUGAGGAGCGAAAGCCAGGGGAGCAAACGGGG
rnacentral:rRNA from 1 species